GAUGAACGCUAGCUACAGGCUUAACACAUGCAAGUCGAGGGGUAACGAGAGGGAAGCUUGCUUUCCUUGUUGACGACCGGCGCACGGGUGAGUAACGCGUAUCCAACCUGCCCCCAACUAGGGAAUAACCUUGCGAAAGUAAGACUAAUACCCUAUAAUUUCCUCAGAUGUCAUCUGACGAGGAAUAAAGAUUUAUCGGUUGUGGAUGGGGAUGCGUCUGAUUAGCUUGUUGGCGGGGUAACGGCCCACCAAGGCAACGAUCAGUAGGGGUUCUGAGAGGAAGGUCCCCCACAUUGGAACUGAUACACGGUCCAAACGCCUACGGGAGGCAGCAGUGAGGAAUAUUGGUCAAUGGGCGGAAGCCUGAACCAGCCAAGUAGCGUGCAGGAUGACGGCCCUAUGGGUUGUAAACUGCUUUUAUACAGGAAUAAAGUUAGCCACGUGUGGUUAUUUGUAGGUACUGUAUGAAUAAGGACCGGCUAAUUCCGUGCCAGCAGCCGCCGUAA
rnacentral:rRNA from 1 species